rnacentral:tRNA from 1 species
GGCCGAGUGGCGGAAUGGCAGACGCUAGGGACUUAAAAUCCCUUGCCCGUAUGGGCGUGCGGGUUCGAAUCCCGCCUCGGCUA